rnacentral:rRNA from 1 species
UACGAAGGGGGCUAGCGUUGUCCGGAUUCAUUGGGCGUAAAGAGCGUGUAGGCGGCCAGGUAGGUCGGUUGUGAAAACUGGAGGCUCAACCUUCAGAGGUCGACCGAAACCAUCUGGCUAGAGUCCGGGAGAGGAGAGUGGAAUUCCUGGUGUAGCGGUGAAAUGCGCAGAUAUCAGGAGGAACACCAGCGGCGAAGGCGGCGCUCUGGGCUGGAACUGACGCUGAGGAGCGAAAGCGUGGGGAGCGAACAGG